ACUAUUUUGGCAGAAUUUUAAGUGCAAUAAAUUUAGAAUUUAUGAAUGUAAUUUUAUUUACAGAUAGUA
rnacentral:tRNA from 2 species